CAGUUUCCAAACCUGAUGUGAUCUCCCAGCUGGAACAAUGGGAAGAGCCAUUGGUCCCAGACCUCCAGCAUUCAGAGGAAAGAGAAAUCCUGAGAGUUCCUUGCACAGGAAAAGGCUCCGCAAAGGAGGUGUAAGGAUCUGGGACUCUAGUGUCUGCCAGAAGCUUCAGCCACCUUCACAGGUUAGAGCACGCCGUCCAUUGCGGAGGUGAAGACCGGAUGGGAGCUGCUGGAUUGACCUUGAUGUGCCAUGUCCUUGUGUGGAUGAAGGACCUACAUCUCAGGGAUGGGCAGCAGCAGAUGUAACACGUGUCCAGGAAUGGGCUAAAUAACCUAC